ensembl:lncRNA
UAACAUGUGCUUUAAUUGAAUAGCUUGCUUUUGGAUUUGAAAUGAAUUGGACUUCUGCUGGCUUGUAACUGCAAUGUCACUGAAUGGAGCCUAGUUUGGGGUGAAAAUUGCGACCUUAUCUCUUAAAGUGAUGUAAAGGGGUGUAAUGACUUAAAGGUGAUGUUUAUUCAUGCAUGCUGUCACUUCUUCUAUCUCUAGAUUUAUAUAAAAUAUAAAACGUUUCAUUAAAAUGCGCAUUAAGCCGAUCACGUGACCAGUCCGCGUUUCCUGGGGUGCAACGUUAAUCGAUGUCCCACCAACAACAACAAACCUAUGACGUUAAAAAGCGACGCGCUGGUUUCCAAAUGAAGGCCUUUUAAAUACCAGAACAAGAUGAUAUUAACACAAAUAAUAUUCGCAAAACAUCAGAGGUUUAAACCGCACAAACUCUCCUAAUGACGCCGCUGCUAUCUAAACAAACAUGUACAGCCUAGGACUUGACAUAAAUGAACCACAGAACUGUUCUGCAGUACCGGAAUGUGUCCACUAGAGGGCAGGAAAGACUUCACUGAACGCCCAGGUGUCGAUUUAAUACCUAAUGCGUGACCGUGCAAAAGUUUGCACACCCAUAGGGUGAAACAAAGCAGUAAAAACAAAAACACUGUAGUUUGAAGCAACAAAGCAUUUAGUGUAUGUUUCACAGAUGUUCCUUAAAUAUCACAGAUAAAAUAAAAUACAUUACAGUGAAAGAGCAUCCAAAAGCUGUUAUAAAAUAAUUCAUAAAUAAAGACAAAUAGUUGUCAGAGACUUUUUAUAUUGUAAUAAUAAAGAUGCAAAGUUUUGAACUAGUUUUCUAUAACCUGCACAUCACAGGUUUAUAUUAAAGCACUCUUUCUAAUACUUUAUUGUUUCUAUAGUAACCGCUCAUUCACUGGGAUGAUUUUUUGUUUUAAUUGUUGAUAUGGGGAAGUUCUCUGUAAGGAUGUGUUUAUAUAUGAUUUAUGGAAGGAGUCUCCAGGGUCAGAGCUUUGUAACAGUAAAGCUGUAGCUAUAAAUGGAUUUUUUUUUUAAAAG